AUGGAGCAAGCGUUAUCCGGAUUUACUGGGUGUAAAGGGAGCGCAGGCGGCAGGGCAAGUCUGAUGUGAAAUACCGGGGCUCAACCCCGGAGCUGCAUUGGAAACUGUCGUGCUGGAGUGUCGGAGAGGCAGGCGGAAUUCCUAGUGUAGCGGUGAAAUGCGUAGAUAUUAGGAGGAACACCAGUGGCGAAGGCGGCCUGCUGGACGAUGACUGACGCUGAGGCUCGAAAGCGUGGGGAGCAA
rnacentral:rRNA from 1 species